UGGGGAAUAUUGCACAAUGGGCGCAAGCCUGAUGCAGCGACGCCGCGUGGGGGAUGACGGCCUCGGGUUGUAAACUCCUUUCAACCAUGACGAAGCUUUCGGGUGACGGUAGUGGUAGAAGAAGCACCGGCUAACUACGUGCCAGCAGCCGCGGUAAUACGUAGGGUGCGAGCGUUGUCCGGAAUUAUUGGGCGUAAAGAGCUCGUAGGCGGCUGGUUGCGUCUGCUGUGAAAUCCCGGGGCUUAACCCCGGGCGUGCAGUGGAUACGGGCCGGCUGGAGGCAGGCAGGGGAGAAUGGAAUUCCCGGUGUAGCGGUGAAAUGCGCAGAUAUCAGGAGGAACACCGAUGGCGAAGGCAGGUCUCUGGGCAGUAACUGACGCUGAGGAGCGAAAGCAUGGGUAGCGAACAGGAUUAGAUACCCCAGUAGU
rnacentral:rRNA from 1 species